AAUAAUAUCUUUGAUAACAGCAAUCACUAUUAAUGAUAAACUAGUCAUUGUGUUCUGCAUGGCCAAGUGUUUCUUAGAUAAGAUUAUUUAUUAAUUUAUAAGUAUUUAUUUUUGAGAGAGAGGGUGCACAAGCACAGGAGGGGCAGAGAAAGGGAGAGAAAGAAUCCCGAGCAGGCUCCGUGCUGUCAGCGUAGAGCCCGAUGUGGGGCUCAAACUCAAUGCACCAUGAGAACAUGACCUGAGCCUACAUCAAGAGGUGCUGAGUCACCCAGGUGCCCCAAGAAUUAUAAUCUAUAGCAUCUUGUGUGUCAGUGGACUUUAAUGUUACUUACAUGUAGUUCUUUGACUACCUGUGGCAGCACUUUGGAAAUUGUUAUAAAAGCAUAUUUGAAACCCCACCGAACCCCUUCUGAAUUUCUAAGGAUGGGGACCUGAAUUUAUAUGAACAAGCUGUCCAGGUGAUUCUUAAGCAAGUCAGUUUGAGAUGCACUGCAGUGGUUUAAUGAAGUCAAGUAGCAUUAAUUGGUAAGACACACCAGGAAAAAGAUGUAUGUCUCCAUGGGAUGCGUCCACACCUUUACUCUUUAUCUUAGUUUCAAAUAAAAAUUGGGAUUAAAGUGUAAAACAUAAAAUGUUUCUGAUAUCCAUUUUGUGAGUGAAUGAAACUAUGAGUCACUUCCUUUUUACUACACUCCUAAGUAGAUCUGUGACUCUGAUAAGCAGAAAACAAAGGAUCUUGUGUUUUUGAUAUAAAGCUUCUCCUUCCCUCACUUUUUUCUCUCCCUCCCUCCCUCCCUGCCUCCCUUCCUUCCCUUCCUUCCUGUCCUUCUUUCUUUUCUUUUCUUUCUUUUUAUAAAAGGUUCCAACUUAAAUCCCGUGGAAUAAACAUAUAGUAUAAAUUUAGGACAUAUCAUCUACACAAAGUAAAUGAAUGGGAUCUAAGCAAUUAUCAUUUGCCAUUUCUGUAGAGGAAAUUAUGCCACUUUUUUUUCAUUUGCCACAUCUGACCUAACCAAACAAGUCUAUCAAAGUUUAUAAUUUUACUCUAUAAGAGUGUAUUGGAUAACUGUAAAAAAUUAGGUUUGAUUCUAAGUUCUUCAAACACAGAAUUAAUUUAUAAAUAAUGAUAAUAUAUGAACAGGUAUUGUUCCUAUUAUUUGAGAUCAAAUUGAAUCACCAGCACAAACUUAUGGAGCACCUGAUAGGUCACAGUAUAGUUUUAGAUAUUAUGAAGAAAAUACCUUGAGCUUAGUUCUUGUCUUGUAGUAUAAUCCCUUCAUGUAAUUUGAUAUACGUGGCUCUCAAAGAUAUUUGUUCAUUUCCACCUUAGGUCAAAAGAUCAUGGGAGCUUUCCAGUGAAAAAUAGGCUUGUGGGUAGCCAAGAAUUGGAGAAGAAAAAGAUAAAGUGCCAUACAUUUGUUGCUAGCAUCAUAUAGGAAUCUUCUCUCAUAUCUCAAUGAGAGCAGAAUCUGUGCUUCUAUAUGUUUUGAAUAUAAAUUAAACCUAUAAAGGUAAAUAUGCCCCAGUAUUUUUUAUAAUGCUUACCUUGAAAAUAUUUUGGGAGAUAUUAAAAUAGCAUAAAACACAGGACAUACAAUGUCCAUCCAGUAAAAUUUGGGACAUUGCAUGUAAACUUGUUUAAGAAACUGGGUUUAAUAAUUUCUACUUUGAACUGCAAUGUAUUGUAUGUUUUAAAGUUUAGUUAUUGGGGAAUAAUGUGUUAAAAGUCCUGUUAUUGGUAGCAGGUAACACUAUUCAUGGUAGGAUUAAUAUAACAACUAAAUAUAACAACAUUAAUAAACUAAAUUGAUAAUGAUGUACUUAUAACUUAAUAUAAAACUUAAUAUAUUAAUGGAGAAGGAAGAACAGCAGAAAACAAAACAUUAACUAACCCGAGACAACACUAAUAGUAUAAUGACAGCAAAGCAAAAUUCAGAAUUGCUGGAAUUCCAACUUUCCUUGUUCAAAACGAUGCCACGUGUCAUGAGGCAGCUAAAGUUCUUAAAAGAAUACUGAAUUGAAGUCUUCAAUAAGCUCUAGCAGUACAUCAAUUUUAGUUUAAGAAUACCAAAUCUUAUCUGUAUGCUGAAAACUAUAGAAAGCUUAUGAAGGAGAUUGAAGAAGAUAAAAGAAAUGGAAAAACAUUCCAUGCUCAUGGAUUGGAAGAAUAAAUAUUGUCAAAAUGUCAAUACUGCCCAAAGCUAUCUACACAUUCAAUGCAAUCCCAAUCAAAAUUGCACCAGCAUUCUUCUCGAAACUAGAAUAAGCAAUCCUAAAAUUCAUAUGGAACCACAAAAGGCCCCGAAUAGCCAAAGUAAUUUUGAAGAAGAAGACCAAAGCAGGAGGCAUCACAAUCCCAGACUUUAGCCUCUACUACAAAGCUGUAAUCAUCAAGACAGCAUGGUAUUGGCACAAAAACAGACACAUAGACCAAUGGAAUAGAAUAGAAUCCCCAGAACUAGACCCACAAACGUAUGGCCAACUCAUCUUUGACAAAGCAGGAAAGAAUAUCCAAUGGAAAAAAGACAGUCUCUUUAACAAAUGGUGCUGGGAGAACUGGACAGCAACAUGCAGAAGGUUGAAACUAGACCACUUUCUCACACCAUUCACAAAAAUAAACUCAAAAUGGAUAAAGGACCUGAAUGUGAGACAGGAAACCAUCAAAACCCUAGAGGAGAAAGCAGGAAAAGACCUCUCUGACCUCAGCCGUAGCAAUCUCUUACUCGACACAUCCCCAAAGGCAAGGGAAUUAAAAGCAAAAAUGAACUANUACUGGGACCUUAUGAAGAUAAAAAGCUUCUGCACAGCAAAGGAAACAACCAACAAAACUAAAAGGCAACCAACGGAAUGGGAAAAGAUAUUUGCAAAUGACAUAUCGGACAAAGGGCUAGUAUCCAAAAUCUAUAAAGAGCUCACCAAACUCCACACCCGAAAAACAAAUAACCCAGUGAAGAAAUGGGCAGAAAACAUGAAUAGACACUUCUCUAAAGAAGACAUCCGGAUGGCCAACAGGCACAUGAAAAGAUGCUCAACGUCGCUCCUCAUCAGGGAAAUACAAAUCAAAACCACACUCAGAUAUCACCUCACGCCAGUCAGAGUGGCCAAAAUGAACAAAUCAGGAGACUAUAGAUGCUGGAGAGGAUGUGGAGAAACGGGAACCCUCUUGCACUGUUGGUGGGAAUGCAAAUUGGUGCAGCCACUCUGGAAAACAGUGUGGAGGUUCCUCAAAAAAUUAAAAAUAGACCUACCCUAUGACCCAGCAAUAGCACUGCUAGGAAUUUACCCAAGGGAUACAGGAGUACUGAUGCAUAGGGGCACUUGUACCCCAAUGUUUAUAGCAGCACUCUCAACAAUAGCCAAAUUAUGGAAAGAGCCUAAAUGUCCAUCAACUGAUGAAUGGAUAAAGAAAUUGUGGUUUAUAUACACAGUGGAGUACUACGUGGCAAUGAGAAAGAAUGAAAUAUGGCCCUUUGUAGCAACAUGGAUUGAACUGGAGAGUGUGAUGCUAAGUGAAAUAAGCCAUACAGAGAAAGACAGAUACCAUAUGUUUUCACUCUUAUGUGGAUCCUGAGAAACUUAACAGAAACCCAUGGGGGAGGGGAAGGAAAAAAAAAAGAGGUUAGAGUGGAAGAGAGCCAAAGCAUAAGAGACUCUUAAAAACUGAGAACAAACUGAAGGUUGAUGGGGGGUGGGAAGGAGGGGAGGGUGGGUGAUGGGUAUUGAGGAGGGCACUUUUUGGGAUGAGCACUGGGUGUAUAUGGAAACAAAUUUGACAAUAAACUUCAUAUAUUGAAGAAAAAAAAGAAAAAAAGAAUACCAAAUCUUAGCUACAUUUAAGAGCACAUUUAUUAGGUUAAUGGUAAGAAUUCCCCAGUUCUAUUGCAUAAAAGUGAAAAAAUCAAUGGAAUUAUACAUAAUUUAACUGUAAUGACUGAGGGAAGGACUUAUAUGUUUUGCAUUACUUCAAAGCCCAAUAAGAGAACUGUGCAUUUUAGAAUAAAUCUAUUGAGGGAAAUGAAAUAUAAACACUAAACCUAACCUCACCAGAAUCAUAUAAAAAUGAUGACAAUGGAAAGGAUGCCCCUAUGUAGUAUGUGCAUAAGACCAAAUGAUAAUAGAUAUAAUGCAUAUUAAUAAGAAUUCAGACCACAGAAAUCAUUUCAACCUGGGAUGUGGCUGUUUAAAAUAGGCCUUGAAUUGUAUGAAACCUCUGAAAAGUAAAAGAGGAAGAAAGAAUCUUGAUGGGUAAAUAUUAUGAAUCAGGUAAGUAUUAUGAAUCAAUCAAUGUCUAAAGGUCAAGGAAUAUCCAAUUACUACAUUUGAAAAAUCUGCUCAUCUCCAAAAUUGAAAAAUAUGAAGAUAUAUGAAUUAUAAAUACCAUAUUUACUGGGGUUAAUCACAAAUCACAAAGUUACAUAAUAUUUUUUUUAAAAAACAAGCAAAACAUUUUCAGUGAUUCUGGCUCUUACUACCAUUGAAAAAUUCUAUGUUCAUGCGAUACAUGGAAAAUCUUACUCAAGAUGGUCCAAUUUGGGUAUUCCAUUAUGUUUUAAUAGUGGAGUGCAUUACUGAGUUGACAAAGGCAAUAAACACUUAUAUAGUGAAAAAUAAGCCAAUAUUGUCAGAUUAUUUAGUGACGAGGGAAUGAUACUGGGGGAAGCUUAGAGAGGGGAUAGGUAAAUGUUUAUUUUAUUCAGUCCUCCAGAUGAAACUGACUUUCAUUAAUCUUUAUAUUACAUUGAUUACAAAAGCACACUGAAGGUUCAUCACUAUUAACCAAGAAACCAAGAAACAUAACUAAGUUGAAAACAGUAAAGAUUUCUAAGUCAGUUCACUAUAAAAUAUCAGCUGUGUUCAGUUGAACUUUUGUUUUCUUGUAACAGAUAUCAUUUCUGUUUGUUUACCCUUUGUGAUAACUCCUUCUCUCCUUCCUUUGCUUCCUUACUUCAUAUGCAUUUAUGCAUGUAUAUAAAUGUUAGAGUUCUAUCACACUCUUCCAAAAACCUCAGAGGUAACCUCUGUCUUUUAAGUGGAUUCCUAUCAAAUGCCCUGGAGAUUAUGUGAAAAAUGCAGAUCCCAUUUCUCCAGGUCUCCAGUAGGGUCUGAGACUUUUUUAUUUCUAACCAAUUAAUGUGGUUGGUGAUGCUGUGUAGACUACGCUUUGAGUAGCAAAGCUCUGGGCCGAUUGGGAUUUGGCAUAUGUGACUAGCACAGCUGUCCCUUCCAUGCUUGCCCAGCUCUGUCGCUUUUGUGUUUGAACAGGAGGAGAUUUUUCUUACUUUCUUGCCAGCUCAUCUAUGGACUUAAAAGAUGUUUCAAUUUUUUCUUUUAAUUGAGCAGGCUUAAGUGUUUUUUUACUAAAAAAAAAAAUUAAAGAAUAAAGUUCUAAAACAUGCUUAUUAUUUUUUUAAAGAUUUUGCAUAGAAGUAUAUGUAUAUAGACUUGGAGUUUGUGCGUUUGUUUUGGUUUAGACCUGUGGAUAGCCUUACUAUAAAAAAGCUAUAGCAAGUGUUUAUAUAUGGCCUCACGUGAGUUGUCAGUGGAAAUUUUAAAAUGUGAUUUCUAGUCUUUUGAUUGUCUACAAAGUAAAACUUGGAAAACAGCAGGCAGUUUAAAAUACCUGUUAAGAGCUGUACAAUUUGGAAUCAGAAAUACAUGAAUUCCAGAUAAGUGCUGCUAUGUUAAAGCUAUGUGACUUUACGAAAAGUACUUUUCUAAGCCUUGGUUUAGUUUAUCUUAGUUUAUCUGUAAAAUAGGUUUAAAGGAAUACAUACCUUUGUGGGCUGUUAUAAGAAUUUAGUGAUACAGGAAAGCUCUAGUAUUACAAAUGUUUAAACACUUAUCUUUUUAAGACAAGUUUAUAAGGGAGACUGUGAUUAUUUUAAAGAAUGAUUAAGAUAAUUCCUCCUUAAAAGACAAAUAAAAAUCCCCUUCAAAAUUAUAAUUAGAAUAAUUUCAGAAUUACCCAUUAUAUUAAUAUCCUCAUUCCAUAUAGUAGCCAUUAGUCACAUGUGGACAUUUAAAUUUAAUUUUAGGGACACCUAGGUGGCUCAGUCUGUUAAGCAUCCUACUUCAGCUCAGGUCAUGACCUCCCGGUUCAUGGGCUCCAGCCCAGUGUUAGGCUCUGUGCUGAUAGCUUGGAGCUUGGAGCCUGCUUCAGAUUCUGUGUCUUCCUCUGUCUCUGCCCCUCCCCAGCUCACACUCUGUCUCUCUGUCAAAAAUAAAGAAAAACAUUUAAAAGGCGGGGGCGAGAGGCUGGGUACUUAGUUGGUUAAGCCUCUAACUUUGGCUCAGGUCAUGAUCUCGUGGUUCGUAGGUUCAAGCCUCGCAGUGGGCUUUGUGCUCACAGCAUGGAGCCUGGAGCCUGCUUCAGAUUCUGUCUCUCUCUCUCUUUCUCUGCCCCUCUACUGCUCAUGCUCUCCCUCUCUCAAAAAUAAAUAAAACAUUAAAAAAUAAAUAAACUUAAUUAAAAAAAAUUAAGUUAAAAUUUGAGUUUCUCAUGUCCAUCAGCCACAUUUCAAGCACUCAAUAGAAACAUAUGGGUCAGUGAAUAAUGCAUAGAACGUUUCCAUCACUGAAGAAAGUUCUAUAGAUCUUACAUAAAAGAUAUUAAGUUGAUAAAUAUAGGACACAAAAGACUACUAUAUUUAAAUAUAAUGUAUUGCUAAUUUAUUCCAGUUUUCUUCGUGAGAUGACUGAUUUGUUUUUUGUUGUUGUUGUUAUUUGUUUGUUGUUUAAAUGGACUCAGUGAUUAGGUUUAUAAAAAGAAAGCUUAACAAGUACGAGUCAAAAAACCAAAUAAAUGAAAACCUGUCAUUCCUUCAGAAAUGAAACUAAGCCGUGGUUUCUAUGUUGUCAUUUAAUUCUGCUUAGGUCAUACUUUUUUCUGAGUGAGAAAUGGGGGCUUCAAGAGAGCCACAGAUGUGUAUCACUUGUGUAUCACCAUGAACUAACCAACAUAUUUAUAACACUGUGCAAUCAGGCAAGGUAUUCAUCUGGAUAGUCAGCAUAUGACCAAAAAAAAAAAAGGUAACCUAAAACCAAAUUUUGGGAACAUUUCCAAAACAUGCAAUGCAAUAUGAGGCGGCACUGAGUAAAGAAGGGAUUUUUGGUUGUGUUUCUAGCAAAAACGGAAAUAAAUCAAAUUGAGGGCAUCAUUACCAAUUUGACCUACCAUACAGUAAGUAUUGGAUUGGUCAUUAUGCGGUAUGGAAUUCCUUAAGGAAAAGAAAAUAGAUUUGGAAAACAUACAGUUUUGGAAAUACUAUGAAGGUGACUAUUUCAGAGAUUUAGUACGUUGAGGAGAAAGGCUAAGGAAAUGAAUCUGAUUCUCACAGGAAAACAGUACACUUCAUGAUGAUUUAAUUAAGCAUUCAAAAUGGGAAAGGGGUUGGAUUAAUAAAAUUGAUCUUUAGAUCAUAUUCACACUGGGACAAAACAUAGCUGUUAAAAAGAGGAAAAGACACAUUAUAGUAUAUUAAAGGAAAUACUGCAGAGUAACUAGAUUUGGACGCAGUAAGUUUAUAAGAUAACAGCAUUGGAACAGGUCCAACUGCCCAAUGUAAUCAUCACAACUAUGUGAUCGGCAACAAUAUCAAUAAUGUAUUCAAAUAAUAUUGAGUCUCCUACUGCAAACAGAUGCAUUCCUCAACUUAAUCUAAUUCACAUCUCCCCCAAAGAUUGCUUUAUCAAAUGAUGUAACUUGCAAUAACAUAAGAACUGGAAUGUAUUAUUUCAGUGAUAUCUAGGUAUAUUCAAAUAUUCAUUAAUUUGGAAAGAAUGAAACUGGCAACAACAGGAUAUCCUGUGUGUGUUGAUUUAUUUUUAAUUUCAAAGAGUUAAUUAGUGGUAGAAAAAUUACAGGUUGCAAAUGAGUCAACUGAAAACUGAACACCAUGUUCCUAAAACACAGUAGGUGCACAGUAAAUAUGGGGACUCGAUCAAUCAUCACAGCUGCUGUAUUAAUACUUUCACUCCAUAUAUCAUGGGAAGCGUUGCAGAGACUAAAGAGAGCACAGAUGUGUUUCUUCCAUAAAGUCUUUAUUUCAAGAAAGUUAGCUAACAAGCUACGGAACUAGCAGGGUUCUUCGCAAUUUGUAAAGCAUACAUACAGCUUAAAGGAAAAUGAGUUUACAUUUUGAAAUUCUACUUCAUGAGAAAAACUGAGUUUGCAACCAUUGUUAUUCUCAGAACUAUUCCAUUUUUAAAACACCUUUAUGUCGGGACCAGUGUUAGGUCUUACUCAUCUUUAUGGUUAGCUAUUCCUUCCUUCGUCCCAUGUUAUCACGGCAUGUUUGUUACACACAGUAGGUGCUUAUGACACACGCAUAUUUAAAUGAAAAGAGGGCAUUACACAAUGCUUCUGAAAAGUCAUUGUAUAGCCAGCCUGUCCUUUUGAUAUGCUAAUCCAUUUUAAGUAUGGAAAUGUGCUAAUAAAUAAUCUUUAUGUGUCUCUAACGGGGAAACUAUCUGAGACUUAAACAUAAUUAUGCACAAACUUCCUUUGACAAGCAAAAUUAUUUUCCAAUGAUUAAAUCAAGUCAGAAGACGCAUGGAAAAAGAAAAUACCUCAACGCAAGUCACUUGUCAAGGCUCCUGACAUACUUGCUUUAUUUUAUUUUAUGUCUUUACAUCUAUUUUUAUGGAUUAACUGAAAUAACAGUUGUGAAAGAUUCUCUGGCACUAUUAAUCAGUGAAUGCCCAAAGUGAGUAUUCUCAUUUUAGCAGGGGCCAAAAGUAUUGGACAAAUUGUCUGAUCUCUCCCCUUGACUGAACAUGCAGAUACUUAGCUUAAUUCACUACUAAUUCAUGAGAAAUUUUUAACAAAGACAAUCUGUUUUAUGACUUACAACAAAUAUUUAUUGCUACUCUCAUUAACCUAGUAAAAUCAAGAAAAUGUAAUGGUUUUCAUUUUCUGUGUCACUGUGUUCAUUAGUUGGCAUAUUAUCCUGUAUAAAUGCAAGGAUAAGGUGCUUUGAAAUUCUACUUUACAUUAAGAGAAUAAUAUCAAUACUGCUGUUGAAAUAUUUUAGUCGUUGGAGAGGAAAUUAUUGUUUAAUGUUUUGAUUUUUUAAACAAAUAAAAUAUCCUAUUAAUAUUCUGUCACAUCUUAGAAAGGAAUAUUUAAUGAGAUUUACUAUCAUUUUUUCCCCAGUAGUAUGGUCUCGAUGAUUUAUAAUAUAAUAUUAAGGAGAUGUUUCAGUUUUCUUGAGGUCUUAUACCAUCAAAUUUUAAAGACCUUUCAAUUAUUCCAUUAACUUUCUAUUUUUCACAUGCUAUCAAACUUUUUCUCUACCAGGACAACAACACCAAGAAGAUUCAAAGCAUUUGAAAAAUUACUGUGGAGGUUUGUGGGGGAAAAGUAUUAUUAUAAGAAAAGUUGUAAGGUGAGUAUUGUUUCCUGUGGCUGGAAGAAAGCAUGCUGUGUGAGGGUGUUUGUGUAUAAAUGAUGUGAAAUCUGAUCUGGAAGGAGAAGGCCGGUUGCGCCACAAGAAAUAUUUUAAUGGAACGUUGGAGGCUUUCACAAUAGUGCACUACUGUGGCUUUGCAGUCUAUUUUGAUCAUGGACCUAUACGUCUGCACUUCCCAUACUAACAACGCACAUAAAAGAUCUUCCAAUUCUCUUCUCUCAUCUAGUUAUGUGUGGUUGGUGAGUCAAAUUGCUGGAGCUGAUAAUAUGAACAAAAAGUAUUAGGAAAUGGUUUCAUAUUCAACAACACAUUACUGGUAAAGAAUUACCUUAUAUUCUAGGAACAGCACAGUACAAGUGAGAGGACGAAAUGAAAAAACAAAUAAUGUUUUAAAAUUUGGUGUUCUUUUCAUAAAGUACCAGUUUUGGCGAUACACUGAACGAGUAUUUAAAAUGCCAUUUAAGGUCAUUUGUCCAACAUCCCCAAAUGCCUUUCCAAAGCUUCCUUUUCAGUUUUUCAAUUGUGCAUAUACCGUAUGUGGGAUACUAUUGUAAAAUUAUCUUACAAAAAUGCUGUUCAUUUUAUCCCAUGGUAUAAAAGCAUCUCCCCCAAAAUGAACAAAAUUUAAAAUGUGUUUAUUAUAAUGGUUUAAGUGAGGAAAUACACAUAAAUUCUUGACCCCUGUAAAGGCAAAUUUACAAGGUGGCUAAAUGGUAACUUUUAGUUUUAGAAAACAUUCCAGAUACCUUUAUUUUGACACAGGACAACUAGAAACAUGUAUUCUGGAUAUUUAUACAAGGCCCUUGCCUUACACAGAAUAACAGUGAUGUAGCUUGACUCACUGAGUAGAUCAUAGCCUCUGUGUCCUGGGGCAGCCUCAUAAACUAGAUGGCUUUCUACCAGGGCUGCUCAUUUCUCCCACAAGCAAAGCACUUUGGAAUGAGCCCUGAGACAGACCUUCUUAACUACAGAGACACUAUUUCACUCUGCACACCAUGGCACCCAGUUCUGUAUAUUGAACACGAGCUUGCUGGAAAGAAUUCUGCAUUAGUCGGGUACAUAUGAAGCUUACUGCUGCCAUCUGAUCUUUUGUCUUAUGCUUCUCUUCAAGAAUGCCAAAACAAAAGGCCAACAUCAACACCAUAAUGCUAGAAAUAGAGGUCUUUGCUCUCCAACACUAAUAUGAAGGUGUUCUCACACAUAGCAAUAUCAUCUGGGUAACUGACAUGUUUUUCACUUUUUAACUUGCUUUUGCAUGCAGCCAUUUAUCAAUUGUACCUGCACACUUCCAUCUUACUGCCAGGCCCUACAAGAGACUUUCCAUAUCAGAAUCGAUACACUUUCCAGACACAAUGUCUUAAUAUUUUUUCUUCUAUUUCUUUUCCUUUUCUCUUUUCUUCUCUUCUUUUUCUUCCUUCCUUCCUUCCUUCCUUCCUUCCUUCCUUCCUUCCUUCCUUCCUUCCUUUUUUUUUAAAGAGUAGACAAGUGUCUGUGACUUGGCAUAUUCAACAUUCACAGUUGGGACUAUUCCUGAGAUAACUCUAAUAUGUGGUAAUAGGUCAUUUUGUUGAGGUACAAAUCUGAAUCAUUCUAAUCUAACAUUACAAGGCUGAUGGUCAAAGCCAGUCAUUUAUCCAGUAACAAAACUGGUCAAGAGCCCAACUGCAAUGUCUCAGUAACUCAGUGAGUUACCUUUCUCACUGCCUCUCAAGAUGACAGUUUCUCUUUCUUUUUCAAGUCAUCAAGUGAGAUAUAAAAUACUGAAAACUGAAAUGGUGGCAAACUAGGGAUAUGAUGUUACAUACUGUGGAAAGCCUGUGUGACUCUCUAUGGAUCCAUGAUUCAGGACAAACUUACCUCUGUUGGCAAAUGUCGGGAUUCUGGGAAGUCUCGGGACAUAUUCCGUGUAAACUUCGACAAGUUGCCUGUUCUUAUUUUCAUCUUCAACUCUUGUUCAAAUUAUCCCCUAUGUGCAAAAUACUCCCUAUCUGCUUAUUUCUUUUGUUUUACUUUUCUCUUUACUGUUCUAUUUUUAGGUAUGAGUAAGACAUGAAUACAGUCUUUAAAAUAUUUAAAUAAUACCUCGGUACACAAAUAGUGUUAAAGUUCCCAUCAUCACUUCCUUACUCCUACUUUGCUCUCUGGAAGUAACCACUUACCCAUAUGGUGUGUGUCCUUCCAGCACCCUUACUACUCAGUUACAUAAAAGAUUUAUGUACAUAGAUCUUUUCACUUAUUUUUAUUUUUUACAUAUAUUGGAUUAAAGUAGAAUAAGUUCAAUGAGAGCAGGGACUUUGUUGGCUCUUUGAAAUAUCCAGAAGUUCGAGAUGUACUUGGUACAUAGUAAGUCCUUACCUAUUUGUUGGGUGAAUAUAACUUGCUUUUCAACUUAAUAUGUCUAGGUGACUAUCCCAUGUUAGUACCUGAAUUUGAAGCUACCUCCUUUUUUUAAAUACAUAUGCACAGUAUUCUAUAAUGUGGGUAUAAGAUAAAUUAUUUCACCACUCAAAAUUCUACUUUCUGUUUACAAGGUGAAGUAACUAUUUUAUAGGAAUCUUUCUCUAUGCACAAUGACUUUUAUUGGAUCUGAAAGACAGUCAUUUUGCCCCCUUCACAUUGUAUCUUUUGGGAUUAUUAGAUCCUUGAAAGUGUCUGCCUUAGAUUAUGUGUUUCUGAAGGACAGAGAUUGGGAUAUUCACUUCUUUGAUAGAAAAGCUACAACAGUGUUUGGAACAAAUGUGGACUUUAGGCAAUAAAGCAUAUUGGCAUAUACCUACAUAGUUGGUGACUAAUGUCUGGAGGAAGAAUUGUACCUAAAAUAUAUUUGGUGGGGAAGAUUACAAACUGUGAUUUAUUAUUAUAAUUUUUAAUCACAUGGAUCUUAGAAAGAGAUUGACUAUGGUCAUUGAACAUAUCUUCAGACCUAGAAAAAAGUGGGCAGAUAAUUGGAAUUGUCUGUAUAAAACACUAUUUUCUUUAAAUAUUAAUUAGCACUCUCCACAUCACGCUUUCUCACUUAGAAACGUUGACAAGAAGAUAUGAAGUUUCUCAGAUGAUAAAAGUUGGCCUUGUAUUUAUAAACUGCUUGCUGGACAUUUAAGACACCGCAAAUAAUGCUGAACCAUAUCUGUUAAAAUUUGUAAAAAUCAGCAUUUUGUCUCAGAUUGCAUUGAAAUUAAAUUAAGAAAAGUAGGAUGAUGAAACCUGGAGAAAAGUCUGAACCUUUCUUACAACGACAUAACAAUUGUUAAGCUAAGCAACGAUUUUUUAUUCUUGGAUGAGCUUAAAUAAUGAUAUAUCCACACCAAAACCAAUAUUUUUAUCCCUAGGUAAGUGAUUGUUUCUGUCUAAUAAUCUUAAAAUAUUGCCUUGUUUGUAAUUGUUUUCUUGACAUAAAAAUGAUUGAGAACAAGCCAAUAAAAUUUGUUGCGGAAAAAGAAAAACAUUAAAUUAGGCCCCGACUUUCAGUAAAAUAGAACCAUAUGGUACAUUUAAUUAUAAGUUGAGGAGAUAUUUGAAGUUUUAAUUUAAAUGUUUUACUUACAACAUUAGCUCGACUCUUCUGGCCAGAUAAUGAACAUCCAGCCAUAGCACCUCACACAGAAAAACAACACCUCAAAAGAUAAAAUCAAAAACUGACAACUCAUGCACUUUUUCUGCACAUCAAAAAGACGUCAAACUCAGGGCGCCUGAUACACUACAUAGUCCACUAGAAUGGUAAAUGAAGACCCUGCAAAGAUCACAGUGGUUUAUAUAUGGAAAGCAUAAUGGGCACCCAGGUAGCUCAGUCAGUUAAGCAUUUGGCUGUUGAUUUCAGCCCAGGUCAGGAUCUCACAGUUGGUGGCUUCGAGCCUGUGUGGGGCUCUGUGCUGACACCUCAGAGCCUGGAGCCUGCUUCAGAUUCUGUCUCCCUUUCUCUCUGCCCCUCUCCCACUUAUGUGCAUGCGCUCUCUCUCUCUUUCUCUCUCCCUCCUCAAAAAUAAAUAAACAUUUAAAAAAUUUUAAAAGUACGUCAGACUGAAAAAGUUCAGUUAAUGGGGUCAACUCAUAAUGAAUUCUAUUUCUCUUUUUCUCUCACAAGGUACAUUGAUUAUGUAGUUUAUGUUGUUUCUUUGCUUUGUCAGUCACAUGGAUCUAUCAUGGAAUCAGAGCCUUGGGCACAAAUGCCUGUUCUGCCAAUUAAUUUGUUCAUUUAUUUAUCAAUUCCUUAAUCACGCAACAAAUACUGAACGCUUAUCGUGUGCCAAGCUAGGCACUCAGGACAAAAUGGUGAGCAAAAGUUGGCAAGAUGCCUAUAUUCUUGGAGAUUUGAGUUCAACUACUAGGAAUUGAUUAGCAUUUGUCAAAUUAUUUAGCAUCUCUAAGCCUCAGUUUCAUCUGUAAAAUGCAAAAAUGAUCCCUACUUCGAAGAACUGUUGCAAGGUUUAAACAGGAUAAUGAAACAUGUAAAGAAAGAGCACAGUGCCUUUCACAAAAGAGAUACUGAAAAUGCCAGCUACCUUCCCUUACCCAUCCUCACCCCGCUCCUUGAACAAACACGGAUGUUUAAUCACAGUAAGUGAGCAUCCUCAGAAAGCACCGCUAUAUUGCACAGCUUCAGGGUGGCACGUACUGCCGCAGACCUUAUCCUCUUGCCAGGACAAUGAAGAUUGAUGAGUAGAGGCGGGGGGAGGCCUGAACGUGGGGCUCCAUCAGGCACUUGAUGGAUCCUGUGAUCCCUGCACCUCUCAUUUUGCUUGGUUUGAGGCAAGAGGAACAGGGCCAGGAACAGCUGAGCAAACAAAGUAAUCCAGAUCAUACUUGUGGUAACGGUGACAAACUCUACAAAAUAACAUCAAUCAUUUCAGGCAAUGACUGUCUUCUCAGAUUGUGUUCACAUGGACUAGAGGCGGGAAAAAAUAAGUGGCUGUUCAAUACUCUAGAGUAAAAGCUCUUUUCAACAGGGAUGGCUUUGUUGUUUUCCUAUUACUCACUGUAUUUUAUCCAGAAUACUCACUCUUCUUGUUCCACCUUCACUUUCAGCAUCAUAAAGCUGACAGCGCAGGCUGUGAAACCAAUUCAUCGUGUGGCCUGCCCAAUGAAUUACAUUUAUUCCCCAAUUCUGAAAGGUGUUCUGCACAAACACAAGUGGAACCAGCUCUUCCCUCAUUAGAUUAUCGAAUGGUGAAAACCUUGGGUUUCAGAUGAAGAAAUUCCACUUGAGCAACUUGAGGGAGCAUCUCGCCUCCAAAGAAUCCAGUCAAGGACGUUGCGCCCCAGUUGACAUUAAGCAUUAUUAUAUUC
rnacentral:lncRNA from 1 species